CAAGAAACACAAUGAUGACAACCACAUAAAUUAAAAAAGCACAAUGACAUACUAAAACAUCAAAAGUACUGUCCUCAACGCUCUUUCUGGAGUUGGAGAUGGAAAGAAAGUAAAAAUGACAAAAAUGAAAAAUGGCAAUAAUUGGAAUAGAGGAGAAAUAUAUUAAAGACAUUUUUGUAGGAUGGUGGAAUUGUAAUAUCCUUUCUGCUGAUAAAUAGAUCAGAGAAUCUAAACCACUUGUACAAACAAGUAAAUGACAGAAGACAUUCAUGCUCAGAUCUUGUAGCAGCAUCAAAGAAACCCCCAAACCACAUGGGAGAUGACAUUGACACCAGUCCUAAGAUACAACUGGGAGACACGGCCAUUAGAUCUUAUGCAAAAGAGGUUUCUUACAAUGUACAUGGCAAUGAACCCUUGCCAGGGCAUGGAUUUUUCAAAAAAAAUUUUCCUUGUGAGUCUGUGGGAAAUUGUAUUUGUUUGCCUAUAGAGGUAGAGAGGGGGGUGAGAAUGAUCUUCUCACAUUAUUUUUCCCUUUUAUUUUUUUUUCCCUGCUCAAUACUUCUUUGCAAUUUGCUUUAUUUUUCCUUCUUUUUGAGUAGACACUGGAUGAAGACUUAUAUCACAUUUUCCCCCUAUAUUGAACCCAAGUAAUGUCUUCCUUGAUUAGGAAACCUGUUAUGUUUCU